rnacentral:rRNA from 1 species
GACGAACGCUGGCGGCGUGCUUAACACAUGCAAGUCGAACGGAAAGGCCCUGCUUUUGUGGGGUGCUCGAGUGGCGAACGGGUGAGUAACACGUGAGUAACCUGCCCUUGACUUUGGGAUAACUUCAGGAAACUGGGGCUAAUACCGGAUAGGAGCUCCUGCUGCACGGUGGGGGUUGGAAAGUUUCGGCGGUUGGGGAUGGACUCGCGGCUUAUCAGCUUGUUGGUGGGGUAGUGGCUUACCAAGGCUUUGACGGGUAGCCGGCCUGAGAGGGUGACCGGCCACAUUGGGACUGGGAUACGGCCCAGACUCCUACGGGAGGCAGCAGUGGGGAAUAUUGCACAAUGGGCGGAAGCCUGAUGCAGCAACGCCGCGUGCGGGAUGACGGCCUUCGGGUUGUAAACCGCUUUCGCCUGUGACGAAGCGUGAGUGACGGGAAUGGGUAAAGAAGCACCGGCUAACUACGU